rnacentral:lncRNA from 1 species
UCAGCUUUAUCUGCCCAGGAGGGUAAAGAGUAAGGACAAAAAUAAAUGGAAAAAUAUAUCAUGUAGUGGUAAAUCAAAAUACUACCAGCUACAAUCCAGCUGCCUCAUUUUUAGCCAAAUUUAGUAUCAUGCUCGUUUUAACAAUAGUUGAGAUGCCUACAUACACGGUAUCAAGUAUGGGUUUAAAGUCAGAGUAUCUGCAUGAUUAAUUAACCUUUGGAUAGUUUUUUCUUAAACCAUUAAGUAUCUCAAUUUUCUUAAUAUCUAAAUGGAGAUUUCCAAAAGCAAUCCAUCUCAUAGGGAAGCAGGGACAACUGGAUAUAUGUCAGGGAGAACGGGUCUACUUUGCUUCUUUUCCUACCCCUCUCUGUGGUAGAUUAUCUUAUUUCUUCAAACAUAUUUGGUGCUCCUCCCUCUGGGUCCCUCCUUAGUAACCAGUAAGAAGAGGACAUUUCCCUCCACAUUGACAUGAGGUGUUGCUGCGUUACCAGUUUUGGCUAAUAGAAUGAGCAGACGAAAAAUAAGCAACAGCCAAGUAGAUUUUUAUGAGCUUUAUGGAACGUUUAUGAGUUUUAUGAUUCAAUGAUUUUUUUUCCAUUUUCUCUGCCAGAUGUCCUGCGUUUGGAUUAUUCUUUCAAACUGGAUCACAAUAAAGGAGAAAUGGUCACACAGAUGACUCACAAAGCAACUAGAUUGUUCCUCUACCCCAUGCUCACUGGCUUUUAAUGACCUGGAGAAUGCUCAGAAGUGACUGAUGGACAAACUUCUUUUUGUUGCCUCACCAAUGGCCAAUAUGCCUGAUGGAACGGA